rnacentral:misc_RNA from 1 species
AAAUUUCAAUUUUUUCACUUUGAUUCUCUAUGGUGUACUUACACUAGUUACCCCAGAUUUUACAGGUGCUCAAACUGGAGUUUGUUAUGGAAGGCUAGGGAAUGGAUUACCAUCUCCAGCAGAUGUUGUGUCACUAUGCAAUCGAAACAACAUUCGAAGAAUGAGAAUAUACGAACCUGACCAGCUGACCCUUCAGGCGCUCCGAGGAUCCAACAUUGAGGUCAUGCUAGGUGUCCCGAACACGGAUCUUGAAAACGUUGGUGCUAGCCAAGACAAUGCAAAUACAUGGAUCCAAAACAAUGUUAAGAACUAUGAUAAUGUCAAGUUCAGGUAUAUAGCUGUUGGAAAUGAAGUUAGUCCCUUCAAUGAAAACUCAAAGUAUGUACCUGUUCUUUUCAAUGCUGUAAGGAACAUUCAAACCGCAAUAUCCGGAGCCGGUCUCGGAGAUCAGAUCAAAGUUUCCACAGCUAUUGAAACUGGACUUACUACAGAUACUUCUCCUCCAUCGAAUGGAAGAUUCAAAGAUGAAGUUCUACGAUUCAUCGAACCUAUAAUCAACUUCCUUGUGACGAAUCGCGCUCCUUUGCUUGUCAACCUUUAUCCUUACUUUGCAGUAGUUGACAAUCCAGUCAUUAAGCUUGAGUAUGCACUUUUCACAUCACCUGAAGUUGUUGUAAAUGAUAACGGAAGAGGAUACAAGAACCUUUUUGAUGCCAUCUUAGAUGCCACAUACUCGGCCCUUGAAAAAGCUGGUGGCUCGUCUUUGCAGAUCGUUGUAUCGGAGAGUGGUUGGCCUUCAGCUGGAGCAGGGCAGUUAACUUCCAUUGACAAUGCCAGGACAUAUAACAACAAUCUGAUUCAACAUGUGAAGGGAGGGAGUCCUAAAAGGCCUUCCGGUCCAAUAGAGACCUACAUUUUCGAUCUGUUUGAUGAAGAUCAGAAGAACCCUGAAAUCGAGAAGCAUUUCGGACUAUAUUCAGCAAACAUGCAACCUAAGUACCAGAUCAGUUUUAACUAGUUAAAAAGCAAAAAGAGAGCAUUAAAAGGAAUAAAGGACUUACCUUUGUAUGUAUGUAAAUUCUGAAUAACAUUUCCAGCUUCAAGAGAAAGUAGCCUAUUG